CGAGCGGACUGAUGGGGAGCUUGCUCCCCUGACGUCAGCGGCGGACGGGUGAGUAACACGUGGGCAACCUGCCUCACAGAUUGGGAUAACUCCGGGAAACCGGGGCUAAUACCGAAUAAUCAAAGGAACCGCAUGGUUCCCUUGUAAAAGUUGGGUUUUACCUAACACUGUGAGAUGGGCCCGCGGCGCAUUAGCUAGUUGGUGAGGUAGUGGCUCACCAAGGCGACGAUGCGUAGCCGACCUGAGAGGGUGAUCGGCCACACUGGGACUGAGACACGGCCCAGACUCCUACGGGAGGCAGCAGUAGGGAAUCAUCCGCAAUGGACGAAAGUCUGACGGUGCAACGCCGCGUGAGUGAUGACGGUCUUCGGAUUGUAAAGCUCUGUUGUUAGGGAAGAACAAGUGCCGUUCAAAUAGGGCGGCACCUUGACGGUACCUAACCAGAAAGCCCCGGCUAACUACGUGCCAGCAGCCGCGGUAAUACGUAGGGGGCAAGCGUUGUCCGGAAUUAUUGGGCGUAAAGCGCGCGCAGGCGGUUCCUUAAGUCUGAUGUGAAAGCCCACGGCUCAACCGUGGAGGGUCAUUGGAAACUGGGGAACUUGAGUGUAGGAGAGGAAAGUGGAAUUCCAAGUGUAGCGGUGAAAUGCGUAGAUAUUUGGAGGAACACCAGUGGCGAAGGCGACUUUCUGGCCUACAACUGACGCUGAGGCGCGAAAGCGUGGGGAGCAAACAGGAUUAGAUACCCUGGUAGUCCACGCCGUAAACGAUGAGUGCUAGGUGUUAGGGGUUUCGAUACCCUUAGUGCCGAAGUUAACACAUUAAGCACUCCGCCUGGGGAGUACGGUCGCAAGACUGAAACUCAAAGGAAUUGACGGGGGCCCGCACAAGCAGUGGAGCAUGUGGUUUAAUUCGAAGCAACGCGAAGAACCUUACCAGGUCUUGACAUCCUCUGACAACCCUAGAGAUAGGGCGUUCCCCUUCGGGGGACAGAGUGACAGGUGGUGCAUGGUUGUCGUCAGCUCGUGUCGUGAGAUGUUGGGUUAAGUCCCGCAACGAGCGCAACCC
rnacentral:rRNA from 2 species